GGGAGCAUAUGGGUGCUGGUGUGCCCCGCGGUCUUCAAAACCGUUGCGAGGGGUUAAGAGCUUCUCCGGUGAGUUCGAUUCUCACAUGUUCCCGCCA
rnacentral:tRNA from 1 species